rnacentral:lncRNA from 1 species
AUGGUUAACAAUGAUUAUGAGUAUUCAAGACUUAAAACACCUGGGUCAUUGUGUUUUAAAGAACUAGAACACUCAUCCUCAGGACCACAGCUGCUCGGGGGUAUAAUUUCAAUCUCUUUUGAAAAUUUGGAAAGUAUUCUAGAAUUCUCAGAGCAUAUAAUUAGUCUACUACAUAUGCAAAGGGUGCUGGGGAACAGAGCAUUGUGGAGAAUAGAAUUCCAGACCACAGGAUUAACAUUUUCAAACAUGAUACCCAUUCUAUUCCUUACUUUUCAUGAAGAUAUAGAUAAAAGAAAAUCAGAAAAUGCAACUGAGUCUGUAAGAUUGUCACAAAACACACCAAACACCAGAGAUCAUCCAGUUCUCCUCAGUAUGGGAUGUCGUUCUGUCUGUAAGAUAAAAAGAAGUGACCGUUGGUUUGUUCACUGAAACCAUCUACAGUGAAAAACGCAGGAGUGUCUUCUUUUGAUUUCACGAUUUACAGUUAGAGAGAUUCUUCACAUUCACCUUUGCUAGCAUCCUUCUGCUGGAAUCCCUUGGUGCUCUUGAGAACCGCAGGACAUCAAGCCAAGCCUCAUCUGCACAUUCCAAAGUCUAACAGAAAACCGACUGUUUUGACAGAUUCUUCCCCAUAGGAUGAUCAUUUAGACAGAAAUUGUUCCCCUGCUGUCCUGUCCAGGAAUGUGGAACACAAAGACUAUUCAGAGAGUGAACUUUGUCUCAGUCUGCCCUGAACUUGCUUUGUUCUUUUCGCAAAUGCACCUGUUUACAUUUCCGUAAUUUUUUUCGUGUCUUUAAGGGAACUAUGAGGAUGCAACAAUGUGUUAUGACUGGAUUGGAAUUCUUUAUCAUUCCAAAACGUCUUGUUCCCUAGGGGGUAGUGUUUGGUGAAGAAGGUAACGUGCCAUCAGAGUGCCUGGUCACCAGCACUGCUCUCCAUUCUAGUUUCUAAUGCAGAGCCUGGGAGGAAGCAAGUGACAGUCCAAGUAUUUGAGUCUGUGCCAUCCACCUGAGAGACCCACACUGAGUUCUAGGCUCCCAUCUUCAGGCCUUGCUUUGGCUGUUGUGGGCACUUGUGGCUGUUGUGGGCACCUCCAAGAACAUGGAGGAUACAUUUCUGUCUCUCUGCCUUUCAAAUAAAUAAAACAGAGGGAGGGCA